GGAACAGGCCUUUCAGGCAUCCUCUCCUAAAAACUUUUCAGGCUGAUCUUCGGAUCAGCCUUUUUUUUGUCCGCGA
rnacentral:sRNA from 1 species